AUUAAACAUACUGAGGUCACGUGACUGCAAAGCAGCUGUUUGAAACAUUCACUGCAUACUGCACAAUGUUUCACAUCAUUCUUAAAAUAAAAGCGUAAGCAGUACGCUAGUACUACAACCUAAACACAGCCAUUCAAAACAUUGCAUUGUAUCAUCAACAAAACUGCAUGAAAAGUGCAUUAAUUGCAUGUCAUUCCACGGUGGACGUCUUUUCUCUCUCACUCAUGAGAAUCCCUCAGAGCUCCUCCCCUUGUCUCAUAUAUAUACAUGUGUUCAGCCAAUGAGAUGAGAGCGAUUAUUACAAAUUAAAUCGUCAGGCAAGCUGCCUUUGUCUCCUGAGCUGGCAGAUCUAGGGCAUGUGUGCAUAAACAGAGAUGACCCGUAGUUUAAGCCAACAUCAUAAAUCAUUCAGAUCACUUGGUGUUAAGCCAGAUUUUAUUGAAAUGAAAACUGACAUGAUGGAAUUCAGUGGUUCAUUAUAGUUCCAGAUAGCAGCCAGCAGGAUGCUUAUAAAUGUGUAGCACUAUAGUGAAAAAGAAAUUGUGACUGUGCAUUGUUUAAGAGAAUGAAUGACACAAAAGCAACUGAAUGCAACCUCAUGAUUUGUUAAAGGGGUACUUCACCCAAAAAUAAAAAUCACUCUCUCUCUCUCUAUAUAUAUAUAUAUAUAGUUUAAAAAUCUCAUUAUCAUUAUUCAGAAAUGACAAAAAAAAGUAGCACAGAAAUAGCCCACGUGAUUUGUGUACUAUAUUCCAAGUCAGCUGAAAGUAUAUUUUAGUUUUUAUGCAAUUAACAGACCAAAAUAAGUUGCUAUUUGCCACAGUUGAUCGUAGGAUAAACAUCAACGACAACACUCACAUUUUACAUCUUGAAGUGCCAUAUUUAAAUGUAACGUGAGAAUAAAUGCCAUUUGUGAGCUUCUGACAUUUAUAGCU